rnacentral:tRNA from 1 species
AGGCACAUAGCUCAGUUGGUUAGAGCACCACCUUGAUAUGGUGGGGGUCGUUGGUCCGAGUCCAAUUGUGCCUACCA